rnacentral:rRNA from 1 species
UACCAUGGUGGUAACGGGUAACGGGGUGUUAGGGCACGACACCGGAGAGGGAGCCUGAGAAACGGCUACCACAUCCAAGGAAGGCAGCAGGCGCGCAAAUUACCCAAUCCCGACACUGGGAGGUAGUGACAAUAAAUAACAAUAUGGGGCUCUUACGAGUCUUGUAACUGGAAUGAGUACAAUUUAAAUCUCUUAACGAGGAACAAUUGGAGGGCAAGUCUGGUGCCAGCAGCCGCGGUAAUUCCAGCUCCAAUAGCGUAUAUUAAAGUUGUUGCAGUUAAAAAGCUCGUAGUUGAAUUUCGGGAUUUAUCCGUCGGUCGGGCUUUUGGGGUCUGUACUGGCGUGAUGGAUUCCUACCUUCUGAAUAACCGGCAUGUCAUUAAUUUGGUGCGCCGGGGAAGCAGGACUGUUACCUUGAAAAAAUUAGAGUGCUUAAAGCAGGCUUAUGCCUGAAUACAUUAGCAUGGAAUAAUGAAAUAGGACGGCAUGGUUCUAUUUUGUUGGUUUCUAGGAUCACCGUAAUGAUUAAUAGGGAUAGUUGGGGGCAUUAGUAUUCAAUUGUCAGAGGUGAAAUUCUUGGAUUUAUUGAAGACUAACUUCUGCGAAAGCAUUUGCCAAGGAUGUUUUCAUUAAUCAAGAACGAAAGUUAGGGGAUCGAAGACGAUCAGAUACCGUCGUAGUCUUAACCAUAAACUAUGCCGACUAGGGAUCGGACGAUGUUAAUUUUUUAAUGACUCGUUCGGCGCCUUACGGGAAACCAAAGUGUUU